UAUCUCCCCCCUGAUGAGGAAUACCACCGAGAAAUCGGUGACAAUACCGCAUACGUUUCGCAAGAAACAAAGCUUCGCAAGAGGCGUCAGAGGAUGAGCCUGUGCCUGAUUAGCUAGUUGGUAAGGUAAUGGCUUACCAAGGCGACGAUCAGUAGCUGGUCUGAGAGGAUGAUCAGCCACACUGGGAUUGAGAACGGCCCAGACUCCUACGGGGGGCAGCAGUGAGGAAUUUUCGUCAAUGGGGGCAACCCUGAACGAGCAACGCCGCGUGCAG
rnacentral:rRNA from 1 species